UGUGUACGUGUGUGUGUGUGUGGGCGUCUGCAUGUCUGUGUGUGUUUGCGUGCAUGAGGAGCGGUGGCCCAUUGGUUCGCGCGUCGUGCUACGAAUCCGGCUACCCGAGUUGGAUUCCGGCUGACGGCCAAUGAGCAGUGCUCCUGCGCGCAGAGGAGGAGGUCGCAGACAGCGGGAGGAAGAUCGCGGAGACGAUCGAGCGAACGCCGUGCCAAGGAUGGCGACGAUCACGACGACGACGACGACGACGACGAUGAAGAAGAAGAAAGAAGAAGCGAGCGAGGGGUGGGGUUCAGGAGUGGCGACGGCGACGCGAUGUUGUGGCGCGUGAACUGCGACAGCGCCAAAGGAGGACUGCGAAACCGAGAGACCGCUGGAGGAUUCCGCUCGCCAACGGAAGGACGGAGUAGACGAGGAAGAAAAACCUUGCUCCCGCAUAGAACCCCGCUAAGAAGUUGUUGCCCCCGGACGUAUUUCGUACGCGAUAAUGACCCGAAAUUUCGAUUGAAAGCUUUCGUGACUGCAGGGAUUCAUCUUCUUGGUUAUUUCGGUAAAGUCACGUAGAAGGGAAAUAAUAAAAUAAUAAAAAUAAAACAAUAAAAUAAUUCUCACGACGUUUCAGCUACAACGCAAGCAGCCGUCCUCGGGUGAAGACCAGGUCUGUCGGAAAGACAGCGUCUGAAUAGAAGAGCCAAGACAAUUUAAUAUUAAACCUCCUUUCUCGCCACGGACCAUCUUCACGUGACGGCACGCGUUACGUACGUGCGCGUGUGUACGUACGUCUAACUUAUUUCGCCACCGUAGGAAGCCAAUGGCGGUCGGUGCUGACGCUUGCCCAACGCGCUCCGGCGUGCGAGGAAAGGCCCUGGUUUGUUUCCGUAUGGGGAGUUAAACGAUGAAUUGGGAAUGUAAAUCGGUUCACAGUCGGUACUUGGGCUCGGAGUUUGAUGGCAGCUUCAUUUUUUGUUGUUGUUGUUGCUUAAAAUCAAACCGCGAGCCCAGUAUUACAUCGCUGAAGAUGCCCCGCUUUGGGAAAAAGGUGCGCCGCAAUAUUGUCUACACAAAAGCAACGACCUCAAUUUGACAAUCAUUUAGGAUGCAUUGAAAAUGUAUUGUGCAAAAGAGGACACGUAAAACAUUGAUAAAAUAAAUUAAGAGCAAUAUUUAAAAUGUGCAGUCCUGUACAAAUGUGGUUAUAAAAGCCCCCCCCCCCCCCCCCCGCAUGACAUCGGGCAUGGUUGGUUGUUCUGUCCAUACUUCACCACGCUGGUCAGUGUGGGAUAUCGCUCGCCACCGAUGUGAGCCGUGGCCAGGAAUUUGAACGCGGGUAUGUCCUGUUUCACGGUCCGAGUGCGCCAACCGCUGCACCAUCACUCCACUGCUGGAUGAAGGCCUUCCACACGCUGUCGCCACGUCCAUCGUGUGUACGUGCAGCGGUGCCAAAUAAAAUUGAUAUUAAAGAUAAAACUAACUUGAGCGAAUUUGCGCCAUUUUGCUUCCCGCUCGCGGCUCACCACCGCUCUCUGGAUGUGCCAAUCAAACUAAACAGUCGCUUUUGAAAGGAGUCGGCUGUGACGAUCCCCGCGUAAUACACAACGUACGUAUGAAGCGCAGAAAAAAUUAGAACUCAAAUUAACGUCGCGAGAGGCAAUUUCAACGUCGCUUCUGUCGACCAACCGAAUUGAACGCCUUCAUUUUAUUAUAUUUUUUGGUCGUAGGAGAUAUUUUAUUUUUAAACCACGAUCAUCAAUUAACGGGGGGGGGCAGAGAGCCCGACCCCCAUCCCCCCCGACCACCCCCCCAGAUUCCGUUCUUGUGCCGAGAAAUUUUGAUUCGGAACCUCGUGCCAAUCCGGUGCUCCUUGCCGGAGGGCACCUGGGGGGGGGGGUGUCUUUAUUUGGCCUACUCUUCCACUCUGGCCGGACAUGUUGGAGUAGUCGGUGGGUGGGAGAGUAGCCACACUUCUUUACGCCACCACACGUGACCUGCCGACUAUAACCGAGCGGCACCCAAUGCCACAGUCUUCAUCGCAGUAUUGUACGCACACAAAAAAAAUCGCGUUCAAUGAAAGAUUUGGCCUUUUUAAAAUCCUUUAUAUUAAGUUCGCUUGCUUGCUUGCUUGCGUGCUUGCGUGCUUGCUUGCUUGCUUAUGACCGUGCAAAUCUUUCGGUCGUUUUUUAACCCACUUCCCGUGAUCCAAUCGAGCUGACAUUUUCCACACAGACUCGUUGUGGUGACAAUUAAUUUUCCUGAAAAUUUUUGUUACAAAAUUUUACACUCUUUAGGGGAAUUUUUUUAAAUAUUUAAUUACCAAUUGCUUAAUGCUGGCAGACAAUCAUCUGACCCAUAGGUGGCAGACAUCUCAAGCCAGAGGACGAGAGGACUCUAGCCGCCACGCAUAUAAAGGAUCUAGAGUGAAAAACUUUGUUUUUACGGGUUAAAUUUUUAUACAUGCAAUGCAACACAUGUAUUUUAUGAUUUCAUAUUUUAUUAUUUGUUUAUAUGCAGCUUGGGGAGAGGGGGGGCGGUAGCGGGUGGGACGGCGGCUUGCGCGCUGCGCUGUGAACGCGGACACCCGAGUUCGACUCCCGGCCGUGGCUGACAUCAGAGGUGGCGAGCGAGUGACACCCAAAACCGAUCCCGGACCUCCACGUCUCCCUCGCAAACUCUCGCUGACCAUCGAGGUGAAGUAUGGUCAAACAAAACCCACAUCAUCCAUGCGCCGUGGGAGGGGGGAGGGAGGCCACUCAUCCAGCAGCGGAUCGAUAAUAGGGCCGUUUGUGUCGUCACGUGACGAACACGACCGCUCGAUGACACAAUUGUGUAAAUGUUCAUGGUAAAAAAAUAUCACGAUUGAAAUAAAGAAACCAGACGUUGGGCCUUGGCGCGUUGCUAAACGCUUCAAAGUCCACGUGACGAUUCAGCUUGAUUGGCCAUGUCGGGUGGUGGAGGGUGUUACGACACAAAUCCGGCCUUAUCGUUAGCAACGCGGCCAAACCAAAAGCAAUUAAGAAUCUAAACCUUUGCUGCGAUGUAACCAUCCACUUAAUUUUGACAACCUUGGGCGUUGUAUGUGUGCACGUUGAACUUCUUUCGCACCAUACGUAGCGAACCGCGCUAAUCGGAGGUGCGGGGGGAAGGACAACAAACUAACCACAAAAACCAGUGCCGAAGAAAUUCGUUUUCAAUCAAGACGACUUCAAAGUUGCAUAGCUCCGGUAGGCUUCCUAACAACAUUGAAAGGAAGAGCGUUCCAGACGGCCGCAGAAGCGCACCUGAACGGCGGCGACGCGGCCACGAUCUCUGUCCAAUCAGCCAGCCAAAAUCCGCUGCUCCUCCGGCUGCUGCUGCUGCUGCUGCGAGGGCUACUGGAGUUCGGGUGACGAUGGUUGAUGCACCCCUCGACGAGAUCGGUGGCGCGGCGGUUGCGGUUCGUUUGUGGCGAGCGCCUCCGCGUCGUUUGGAGACGCGGCGAUGAAGACGGACGGGGAGAUCGCGAAUUUACCGGAGCUGAGGGAUUUCACAACGGGAGUCGCUGGACGCGGCGCCCUUCUAAAAACUAGAACUAGAAAGGAAACUAUAGACUUUUUCGAUGUAAAGCUUUCGUGACUGC